rnacentral:rRNA from 1 species
CCAAAAAACAAAAAAACAUUCCAAAUGAGAGGUAUCAUUUGGAACUGUAGAGGGGUGGGCAAGAAAGGAAUGGCCACCUGCCUCUCUGACUUAAUAAGUGAUCAUUCCCUUGAUUUCCUGGGUCUACAGGAAACCAUGAAGAAAAACUUCUCCCCCGAAUGCUUGAGAAAAAUUGACCCUUUUAGUAUUUUUGAGUGGGUCUGGAUCCCCUCAUGUGGCAAAUCAGGUGGUAUCAUUGCAGGGGCUAGAAAAGACAUUUUGGACUUGAGGUCUAAUAAGAAAGGAAAGUUUAUAUCCAGAUUGAUCUUAUAG